rnacentral:rRNA from 1 species
GACGAACGCUGGCGGCGUGCUUAACACAUGCAAGUCGAACGGUGAAGCGCCUUCCUUUUUGGUGGGUGUGGAUGAGUGGCGAACGGGUGAGUAACACGUGAGUAACCUGCCCCCUUCUUCUGGAUAACCGCAUGAAAGUGUGGCUAAUACGGGAUAUUCUGGGUCUGUCGCAUGAUGGGUCUGGGAAAGAUAUUGUUUCGGUUGGGGAUGGGCUCGCGGCCUAUCAGCUUGUUGGUGGGGUGAUGGCCUACCAAGGCGGUGACGGGUAGCCGGCCUGAGAGGGUGGACGGUCACACUGGGACUGAGACACGGCCCAGACUCCUAGGGGAGGCAGCAGUGAGGAAUAUUGCACAAUGGGAGCAAGCCUGAUGCAGCGACGCCGCGUGAGGGAUGGAGGCCUUCGGGUUGUGAACCUCUUUCGCCAGUGAAGCAGGCCUGCCUCGUUUGUGGGUGGGUUGACGGUAGCUGGAUAAGAAGCGCCGGCUAACUACGUG